UCUGAAUAUGGGGGGCCCAUCCUCCAAGGCUAAAUACUCCUGACUGACCGAUAGUGAACCAGUACCGUGAGGGAAAGGCGAAAAGAACCCCGGCGAGGGGAGUGAAAAAGAACCUGAAACCGUGUACGUACAAGCAGUGGGAGCACGCUUAGGCGUGUGACUGCGUACCUUUUGUAUAAUGGGUCAGCGACUUAUAUUCUGUAGCAAGGUUAACCGAAUAGGGGAGCCGAAGGGAAACCGAGUCUUAACUGGGCGUUAAGUUGCAGGGUAUAGACCCGAAACCCGGUGAUCUAGCCAUGGGCAGGUUGAAGGUUGGGUAACACUAACUGGAGGACCGAACCGACUAAUGUUGAAAAAUUAGCGGAUGACUUGUGGCUGGGGGUGAAAGGCCAAUCAAACCGGGAGAUAGCUGGUUCUCCCCGAAAGCUAUUUAGGUAGCGCCUCGUGAAUUCAUCUCCGGGGGUAGAGCACUGUUUCGGCA
rnacentral:rRNA from 1 species